AAAGGAAUUGACGGGGGCCCGCACAAGCGGUGGAGCAUGUGGUUUAAUUCGAAGCAACGCGAAGAACCUUACCAGGGCUUGACAUUUACCUGGCGGUGCAUGGAAACGUGUGCCUUCUUUAGGGACGGGUAAACAGGUGGUGCAUGGUUGUCGUCAGCUCGUGUCGUGAGAUGUUGGGUUAAGUCCCGUAACGAGCGCAACCCUUAUUCUUAGUUGCCAGCAUUUCGGGUGGGCACUCUAAGGAGACUGCCGGUGACAAACCGGAGGAAGGUGGGGACGACGUCAAAUCAUCAUGCCCUUUAUGUCUUGGGCUACACACGUGCUACAAUGGCCGGUACAACGGGUUUUGCGAAGUCGUGAGGCGGAGCCAAUCCCUUAAAGCCGGUCUCAGUUCGGAUUGCAGGCUGCAACUCGCCUGCAUGAAGUCGGAAUCGCUAGUAAUCGCGAAUCAGCAUGUCGCGGUGAAUACGUUCCCGGGCCUUGUACACACCGCCCGU
rnacentral:rRNA from 1 species